rnacentral:rRNA from 1 species
AUAUUAAUAAAAGACCUGAUAUUAAGUAAGAUUACC